UGGCAUCAUCUGGAGAUUGGCCUCUGGGGUGGAGGCCCCUACAGGGGAACCCCUUGGAGAGACUCGGGGGACUGGAAAUGGUGGAGAGCCAGCGGAGAUGGCAAAGACCGGCGCGAGGGAUGCUCGGAGUCAGAAGGGGCACCGAUGUAGUGGCUGAGUGGCUAAGCUCUCAGGCGAAAGAAAGUUGUCGUCCCUCAGGCGAAGUGAAGCCUCUGGAGGAGAGGUGG
rnacentral:lncRNA from 1 species